UCCAAAAAUGUUUUGGAAGCUGCUGCAUAGAUGAUGUAAUAUGCCAGGGAGAUAUGUAUACUGUAGCUAAGAUGGUAAUACUAAGUGUAUGUUGUGAAGUAAGCUGUCAGUAGCCCAUGCGGCUCACCCUAAUCAUUGUGUCCCUUUUCCUCUCCUAACUUAGCCUACUGCUCUGACUUACUGGUGCAUAUGUAGCCUAUAGCCUGUUUUAGAGAAAUGUCAUCAUUGAAUAUUGUAAGAGCUUUUAUUGUCUGCUUUUAAGCCCCCUUUAUUUAUCCUACAGUUCUGACUUGGUGUACAGUGUUGAACAAGAUAAAGUAAAACUUGACUUUACUCCUCUGUUUGGUCUGAAAUACCAGGAGGUGUGAGUACAUUUGUUUUAGAGUCUUGCCAUCUCUCCACCCUCUGCUUCAAUCAACAGUCUCUCUAGAACAGUGGCCGUAAUCCAACUGAAGACUGGUAUGUGGCACAUGAUGUAGAGUCUCCUUGAUGACUUAAUAUGUGUGAUGAUUCUGCUGGCCAGGUUCUCAUCACUGAUUAUAUUCUUGAAGUACUCCUCUUUCUGUGGGUCGUUGAAACAUCGUACCUCUGUCACCUGGUCCAAAUACUCAGAAGGGAUCUGAUUGGCUGCUGCAGGUCGGGAGGUUGUCCAGAGUGGAGCAGUUUCCCCUUGAUGAGCUCCCGAACAGGAAGUGGAAAUAUGAAGUGGAUAUCCUGAUUAGCUCUUCCUUCGGCCCAGUCCAGAAUGAACUUCUGCGCAGAGACUGUUUUACCAAUGCCAGCGACUCCCUUUGUCAGCACAGUUCUGAUAGGCUUGUCUUGUCCAGCUCUGUAAAGAUCUUAAUGAGAAGACUUGGGUUUCCUAGGACAGCUAUUCCUUCAAACACACACCGAAACUUCUUCUUCAGGAAGUGAAGUGUGAUCCUCUCUGGCCCUGCUCUCCUGCUUCUCAUCUUCAGCAUCCUCUCUCUGACUCUAAGCAUUCUGGGAGAUCUGGACUCAGAAUCCUCUUGAAACUCUUCAGUUCUUUCUUCACUAAAGUGAUGACAGUCUCUUCAAGUGACUGAGAAAGAGAAGUGUUUUUUUU